rnacentral:rRNA from 1 species
CCUACGGGUGGCAGCAGUGGGGAAUAUUGGGCAAUGGGCGCAAGCCUGACCCAGCAACGCCGCGUGAAGGAAGAAGGCUUUCGGGUUGUAAACUUCUUUUCUCAGGGACGAAGAAAGUGACGGUACCUGAGGAAUUAGCCACGGCGAACUACGUGCCAGCAGCCGCGGUAAUACGGUGGUGGCAAGCGUUAUCCGGAUUUACUGGGAGUAAAGGGCGUGUAGGCGGGUAAGCAAGUCAGAAGUGAAAACCAUGGGCUCAACCUGUUGCCUGCAUUUGAAACUGUUUUUCUUGAGUACUGGAGAGGCAGACGGAAUUCCUAGUGUAGCGGUGAAAUGCGUAGAUAUUAGGAGGAACACCAGUGGCGAAGGCGGUCUGCUGGACAGCAACUGACGCUGAGGCGCGAAAGCGUGGGGAGCAAACAGGAUUAGAUACCCCAGUAGUC